GGUAAUCACUACGUGUGGGGAAAAGCCAAAAAGCAGGCGACUUAGAGACGCAGACAUCCAAGUUGGUGAAGAACCUAGGCAGCAGUUCAAGAAAGGCAAGUUGAAAGACGGCAGCUCUGAGUUUUUUCAAACUCGGAAGGCGGGGGAAGAGGUGGUCCGAGCUGGUACAGUGCGCAACACUGCCACCUACUGGCCAGAGAAACGGAACGACACGCAUCACAAAGGAAAAUCCAUCGUUUCCUCUGUUCGCCUGUAAAGAGCCCUGCAGAUCAUAGCUGAGGUGGCAAAGAGGAAUGCUGCUGAGGGGGAGCGAAGGCUGUGGUACAAUCGAACUGGCCCGGCCGAACGGUCUUUGGCACAAUAGCCUUCUAUGGUCCUGCCCCGGAACUAAGCCAACAGAAGCAGGAAGGCCCGCGUCCGGAAGUUCCGGCGCCCGGUAGAGGAAAAGUCAGGGCUUCGGGAUGCGUUCCAGUUGUGAGGUUCUGAGCCUGGUUCCGGCGACUGUGGCAAGGAGUGAGGUCCUUGCCAGUCUGUGUGCCCAGUUCUGAAGACGGUUUCCAUACUCGUCCAAGGCCCCAAACCCCUGUUAUCCGGCUGCUAUUCCUCGAUCCCCGGACUCUCAGACCGUCCUUUGGGCGACGCGUGUCCGAAUCCCCUGGUCAUUGUUCUGCCCACUCUAGCCUGUGAACGCUGGUCCCAAGGCACAGUUGCUAUCCUCCUCUCAGCCUUCCCUCCCCUGCUGCCUGCAGGUCUAUCAAGGCCCUAGAAGACAAACCGGCCACGCCCGGUCCUCUCCGUCCUCAGGGUUGUUCUCCCCAACACGAAUAUCCAGCUGCCCAUGGACCUGCCUUGGACCCCGGACAUCAGGAACCCCGCUCCCCUCCCUGGAGUCGCUGUCUAGCAUUCCUCUCUCUCAUCACCCCCAAAAGGCCUGUUCUCCAGCCCCCUCCCUCUACUGCGUCUACAGCCUAGGCAUUAAGCCCUUUAGGGAGCCCCCGGUUCUGUGGCCACUUAGGUCAUGUCACAUCCUACUAGGCCAGCUUAAGGGGCUAUAAAUUGUCCCGCGCAAAACAGGUCUUUGCUCCUUCCUCUCUCCUCUCCUGGUACACCCUAAUAAAGACGAAAUCCUGCAACCUCCUGACCUGUAUCUUUUCUCUAUCUGCAGUAACCUUCUAGUGCUCCAUGACCCACGCUUCUCAAGAAGUUCAAUGGUAAUACAUUAAGAAGAAGAAGAAGAAGAAGAAGAAGAAGAAGAAGAAGAAGAAGAAGAAGAAGAAGAAGAAGAAAAGAAAAAAGAGCAGUUAUCAGACAGGAACUCUCACCACUUCACAGCAACACCUGAUCUGCACCUGUAUCUCUGCUAUCCCUGUGGAAUAAGGGACCUUAUCCUACCUGAGGCCAGGCCCUUCACCUGGAUCCCAUGCCCAUCUUCUGGAGGAGGAGUAGGACUUUGCAAUGAUUCCAAUUAUCACCUAUCCAUUUAUUUUUUUCUCCAUCAUUCUGUUAUCUAUGAUACAAGAAGCAGUAAAACGUAAAGCCAUCCCUUAUCCCAUAUCUUUCUGAGACACUGCCACAUUUCGCUUGCUGUAAACAGCAAGUCUUCCCUUGUUCUGUAACCAUUUUUUUUUUUUUGCUAACUUCUCCAGUCCAGCUUCUAUCAGCCUGCCCCCCCAGAUGAAAACAGCUGUCAAGGGCACCAGUGAAUCCCUUUGAUGAUGUCCUCUCCUCAACCUACUGUACCUGUCAGAUAGCUCUGGUACACUUAACAAUUGCCUGGUUCUUGAAAAUGUCCCUCCCUCCCUUUCUUCUAAUUUGUAUUUUGGCCUCUUUGAAAAUUUACUCUUUGGGUGAUGUUCUCCCAACCCCAGUGGCCACUGUGCUCCUUGUUAGUGUUUAUUGCUAACUCCCUAUUCCACAGGGCUUUUAACAGGGCCCUUCCCAUCUACACUCUCUCUGUGGGUUGUUUCAUCCUUGGUGCCAGCACAGAGCAUGGACACGAUGGGACCUCCCACGUUCGUACCUCAUGCAUCAACCUGUCCCCUGAGAUCCACAUUUGUCUGUGUCUUUGCUGGAUGACCAGAAGGGAGCAGACACUUAACAUGUCCCAAGCACGCCUCUUCAUGUGACGUGUUCCUUUGGUCUCCACUGCAACCCAGCACCACGUCCUCUGGAUUCGAUCUUCUGAAAACAUCCUGUAUCCAUCCCGUUCUGUGCUCAUCUACUGCUACUGUUUUCGUAUCCAAAUAAUCUGCUCAUCUCUUGUCUUCACGGCAGUAACUCUGGCCUACUCCUGUUCCUUGCACACGCUUCUUCCCUCCUUAGGACAUUGGUGAUCACAGUUGUCUCUGCCUGGGAGAGUCUCUCCCUGGAUCCUUACAUGGUGGGUUCCUUCUAACCUUCUGGUUUCUGCUCCAUUAUUGCCUCCUCAGAGAGGCUCUCCCUGACCCCCUUGUGUAAAGUAGGUUGUUCCUGGCCUAGGACCUGGGUUAUUUUCUUCCUAACACUUAGCCCACUAAUUUGCUUAUUCCUUGGUUGGUUGGUUGGUUGGUAUUCUCUCACUCCCCAGAUAAGUGCUACGUGACCAGCUUGUACAAGAGCACCACACACCUAUUAAGAGAGGCUCUCAUUAAUGUUAUGGAAUGCCAAAUAAAAGGUCACCUGACA